rnacentral:snoRNA from 1 species
UGUGCUAUGAAGAGGUAAGGCACCAAUUGGUGUUUUUUGGGCAGUGGUUUAUCCGUGAGCCCAAUUAAUUAACGACUUCUCCUUCCACUGAGCAUU